rnacentral:rRNA from 1 species
GACGAACGCUGGCGGCGUGCUUAACACAUGCAAGUCGAACGGAAAGGCCCUGCUUUUGUGGGGUGCUCGAGUGGCGAACGGGUGAGUAACACGUGAGUAACCUGCACUUGACUUUGGGAUAACUUCAGGAAACUGGGGCUAAUACCGGAUAGGAGCUCCUGCUGCAUGGUGGGGGUUGGAAAGUUUCGGCGGUUGGGGCUGGACUCGCGGCUUAUCAGCUUGUUGGUGGGGUAGUGGCUUACCAAGUUUUUGACGGAUAGCCGGCAUGAGAGGGUGACCGGCCUCAAUGGGACUGCGAGACGGCCCAGACUCCUACGGGAGGCAGCAGGGGGGAAUAUUGCACAAUGGGCGGAAGCGUGAGGCAGCGACGCCGCGUGCGGGAUGACGGCCUUCGGGUUGUAAACCGAUUUCGCCGGUGACGAAGCGUGAGUGACGGUAAUGGGUAAAGAAGCACCGGCUAACUACGUG